rnacentral:rRNA from 1 species
AUUGAACGCUGGCGGCAGGCUUAACACAUGCAAGUCGAGCGGAGAUGAGGUGCUUGCACCUUAUCUUAGCGGCGGACGGGUGAGUAAUGCUUAGGAAUCUGCCUAUUAGUGGGGGACAACAUUCCGAAAGGAAUGCUAAUACCGCAUACGUCCUACGGGAGAAAGCGGGGGAUCUUCGGACCUUGCGCUAAUAGAUGAGCCUAAGUCGGAUUAGCGAGUUGGUGGGGUAAAGGUCUACCAAGGCGACGAUCUGUAGCGGGUCUGAGAGGAUGGUCCGCCAAACUGGGACUGAGACACGGCCCAGACUCCUACGGGAGGCAGCAGUGGGGAAUAUUGGACAAUGGGGGGAACCCUGAUCCAGCCAUGCCGCGUGUGUGAAGAAGGCCUUAUGGUUGUAAAGCACUUUAAGCGAGGAGGAGGCUACUGAGACUAAUACUCUUGGAUAGUGGACGUUACUCGCAGAAUAAGCACCGGCUAACUCUGUGCCAGCCGCCGCCGUAACAC